rnacentral:rRNA from 1 species
GAUUUCUGGCGACGUUCAUCUGACCCGCCACGGUUACGUGUGUGAGUGUUGGUAUGUACCUGCCAUCCUUGUAGAAAUGGUAACUACCCUUUACUGGGCCGGUUACAACUUUUCUACAUCUUUUACUUUGAAAAAAUUAGAGUGUUUCAAGCAGGCUUUCUGCCUUGAAUACAUUAGCAUGGAAUAAUAAUCUAGGACUUCGGUUCUAUUUUGUUGGUUUCUAUAACUGAAGUAAUGAUUGAUAGGGACAGUUGGGGGUGCUAGUAUUGGCCGGCCAGAGGUGAAAUUCUUGGAUUCGGUCAAGACUAACUUAUGCGAAAGCAUU